rnacentral:lncRNA from 1 species
GAACCUCUCUAUAAGAGAAAGUAGGGUCAUUAUGGGAAAUUCACUCCAUCUAAUUAAUAAAAGUCCCAUCCCACCAUCUCCCCUUCAAGUGAGUACCCAAGCGGCAACUGCAACAUCACAGCACAGCAGCCAUUCAACCCCCUCCCUCCUUUUCUCUCUCUACCACCCAAGAGGGGAGAAGAAACAGAGAGGAGAAAACUAAAAGAAUCUCCACCCUCCAAGAAGUCCAUCUCCAAUCCCCCUAUCUUUCUUUCCGAUGGCCCAGCCGGAUCAGAAGUAAUGUGAGGGAAGGAAAACCAAGACCAAAACCAAAAAAGAGAAGGAAUGAAAGAUAAGAGUUGCUUCAGGCGUCUAUCAAGCCAACCAAAUCCCUUCUCUCUCUCUCUCUCUCCCCACCCAAAACAAAACUACU